GACGAACGCUGGCGGCGUGCCUAAUACAUGCAAGUUGAGCGCUGAAGGUUGGUACUUGUACCGACUGGAUGAGCAGCGAACGGGUGAGUAACGCGUGGGGAAUCUGCCUUUGAGCGGGGGACAACAUUUGGAAACGAAUGCUAAUACCGCAUAAAAACUUUAAACACAAGUUUUAAGUUUGAAAGAUGCAAUUGCAUCACUCAAAGAUGAUCCCGCGUUGUAUUAGCUAGUUGGUGAGGUAAAGGCUCACCAAGGCGAUGGUACAUAGCCGACCUGAGAGGGUGAUCGGCCACAUUGGGACUGAGACACGGCCCAAACUCCUACGGGAGGCAGCAGUAGGGAAUCUUCGGCAAUGGACGAAAGUCUGACCGAGCAACGCCGCGUGAGUGAAGAAGGUUUUCGGAUCGUAAAACUCUGUUGGUAGAGAAGAACGUUGGUGAGAGUGGAAAGCUCAUCAAGUGACGGUAACUACCCAGAAAGGGACGGCUAACUACGUG
rnacentral:rRNA from 1 species